AUUCAGUUGAGCCUUCAUUCGCAUAUUAGCACUCUCGAUCAUCUUCUUCUCCAAAUGAACUUCUCUAUCAGCUUUCUCUCACAACCUUAGCUCACUCUGACUCACCCUAUCCUCACCCGACAGACUAAACCCAACCCUAACCUCUGCUUCACACCCAACGACGACGGUGGCCCUCGAGAGGUUCCGUAAUAUGCGCCUCACUAUGGAAAAGUGGGUGCAGGGAACUUCAGAAGCUCAUUCUAUGGAAACCUAAUGUGUACUCAUCAAUUUGCAGCAGGAAAAAAUAUUCAGUUAUGGAAACUCUGUUGUGGUGGCCUCAGUGGUUAAAAACUUCACCCUCUUAUAGUUGAAACAUCAUUGUAUUUUAUGAAUCUUGGGCGUGCUUUAGUUUGUUAAUUAUAAAAUAUUUUAAUCGGCUGUGCUAUGUAUUAUUUUGUAUACUUAUGGCCUAUUUUGGGAGAUAUAGUUAAUUUUUCACAGCAACUUUUUUGGUGUUCAUUUCAUGUUUGGCAACUUGGAAGGAAGAAGACCAACACCAGUGAGACUCAUUUGAACUCAGGUAGCGGGAUUAACCACUCUGGGUUAAAAAGGCAUCAGGAAGUUCUUUCAGUAGUAUUUCUGCCAUGAAAUUUAGCUUAUUUCUCGGAUGAGGUGUGAGCUUAAAACUGAGGAAGGAGCGGAAAAAGCCGACUAGAUCCAAUGAUAGUCAUCAGGAUGGCCAAUCUUCCAAAAGAUGCGGCUUGGCUUCUACCUCCCGUUGCAAAUAUUCUCUUCAAAGAAGGCGUUACUCCAGCUACGGCCAGAUACAAUUGUUCCAGACAAUGACUUGAAAGUAGGUGAUGUUUGUGCCUUUGUUAUGACAAAGAACAUUGGAAUAAUCUUAUUCGAAGUGAUUAUUUUUCAUAACAAUGGAGUAGCAAACUCCCCUAUGGCUAUGCUAUCAGUUCCAGGUAAAGAAGAACUCUGUUCUGUAGUAAUAUACUGUCUUGAUCAUUCCCUACUUCACCCUAAACAUCACAUAUAACAAUCUAGGUGAGAAUUAUUAUAAUGCUCCUAGACAAUAUAAUUGAAUGCAAACAUGGCUACAAAGUUGACUUAUACUACUGUUGUUUUCAGCUGCAAAUAAGAGAAGUUCAACUACACCAUCCAAGCCAAAGAUAACCCCUUGUGCGAAAAUUGAACCAUCUUUUACUAGUGAUUAUGAUAAAGCCAGCAUGAUUUCAGAGGACCUAAUUGCACAGAAAAUAAUAGAUGAACCUUCAGUUAACUAGUCUGAUAAAGUGUGUGGAGAAUCUCUUGUACAUAAAAAAUUUAUAAGAAAUCAGGAGUUGAGUAGAAAAGGAAAGGCUGAAGCUUUCCAAAGAGCUAAAGAUUUUAAAUCUGAAGACCCCUUUUUUAUUGUUCCCAUGCAACCAUCAUUUGUUGGAUCCAAAUCUAAGUAUUGUAUUGUAAUUAAUAAGUUUCUCAAUUACAAGUCUAUCUCUUCAAAUAUGUUUCUCAUAUUGAUUUUACUUUGUUUUCAUCUUAUGUCUAGGGUGUGCCAUCUCCCUUUGCAAAAAAGUACCUUUUCGGGAUCAGUAGUACACCUCAACAUGUGAUCCUUACGGUUAAGGAUGUGAUUUUACUUCAAUGCAUAUGUUUAAUUUAUUGAUUUUACAGAUGCUCAGAGGAUACUUUAAGAGUUUGAGGGGUGUGUGCUUCUAGCUUCUGAGUUUGGAGCCAGAUUAGGAUAGAGGCUUCACAUUCUUUUUUAUGUUUGUUUGCCUAACUUAGUGUUAGUUUUUUUUUUUUUGUUCAUUUAGUUGGGUUUGUAUUGGGGUAACUUUUUUCUGUUUUUCAUGUUGGCAACUCUGAUUCAUUGAGUUUAUUGUUGUAGUUCAUAGACAAUACAAUUCAAGCAAGGAUUAUGUAAUUGAAUUUUUUAUGAUUGCCAUUGUAAUUUUUAUGUAUUGAAUAAAUGUGUUCAAUAUUAUUUAAAUAUAGCUUUUUGAAUAAUUUUUUUUUUAUUAUAUAAUUUAAAUAAAUAUAUUUAAAAUUAAAAAAAAUAAUAAUUAGUUUUUAUGACUAAAUAUUAGUCACUGAAUAAUUAAUUUAUGUAAUUCUUUAUUUAUUAUUGCCAACUAAAUUAUUUAGUCACAAAAUAUUAGCUUUUUCGUGACUAAAUUUUAGUUGUUAAAGUUUACUUUUUUGGUUGUUGAAAGUGCAUAUUGGUAUUUAUGUGAUCAAUACAUCAAUCUUACUGUGACUAACUUUAAUAUAUUUUGUAACUAAAUUUUAGUCAUAGAAAAUAACAUUAUUUGUGACUAAAUAUAUUAGUCACUAAAUCUCUUCUACGACCGACAUUCAGCGACUAAAUGGUGACUAAAAAUAAUUAGUCACAAAAAAUUUUGGGUGACUAAUUAAUGAGUUUUAAUGACCAAAAAACUAGUCGGGGAAAAUGGGUUUUUUUGUAGUGAAAGUCUAAAAAAGAUUGUCUUCAUUGUUUAUAAAUUAGUUUUGGAUAUAUUUUCUUUUUCUUUGUUUAAUUUAUCUUAACAAUAAAUAGUUUAUUUUUUAUUUUUAAUUUCUUUGCUGAAACUUCUUGAGAAACCAUAUCCAUUUAUAAUAUAUGUUCUUUUAUGCAUGCAUUUUGUUGAUAUUAUGAAGUAAUGCUCUGGUAUGUAUAGUUAUUUUAUGAGAGAAGCACAUCCACUCUAUAGUUUAUGGUCUUGUUAAAAGUUGAUGAACUCAGGUAUAAAUCUGUGUAUUAUGGGUUUGAAUGGCAGUACGGUGGUUUAAAUCUGUAUAUAUGUUAAUUGCAUAAUUCUUAGUAAUAUGGUGGUGAUGGUGCAGUGGUUUCAUUUUUUUCGCUUCGUUUCAUAACUGAAGCAAAAAAUCAAUUAGUGUCGGUAUGGAACAAGAUGCCAGGACACAUUUUUGAUGCUAUUAAAUAGUGAGGGAGUUUAAUGAAUUUUUUUAAUCUUGUAGGUAUGGAACAAUGCGUGACAAUGUCAUUAGUCUUAAGGUAGUUCUUGCCAAUGAAGAUGUCAAGACAGCAUCUCUUGCAUGAAAGAGUGCUGCAGGUUGUUGACUUUGAGAAUAAAAAUACAACAUGGUUGUGGACUUGUGGUGCUUAGAGAUCAUCUUUCAAAGUGACUCCCAAUAAGCAGUUCAAGCAAUAUUGGCAUCACAGAUCAUGCCUACAUAUCCAGCUCCUCAGAGAAUGUUUUAAGAGUUUGAGGGGCAGGUGCCUUCACUUUUUUUUUUUUUGUUUGCUUAUUGCAUUGCUAGUUUCUUUGUUGUUCAUUUAAUUUGGUUUGUACUGGGUAGCUUAUUUUAUUUUUUUUGUUGGUAACUCUGAUUCAUUCAGUUUUUUGUUUUACUGUUUAUGGACAAUGUAAUUCAAGAAUUAUAUUGUAAUUGAAAUUUUUAUAAUUGACAUUGUAAUUUUUUAUGUAAUGAAUAAAUGUGUAUAAUGUUAUUUAAAAAUAGCUUUGAAUAAUUUGUUUUUAAUAUAUACUUUAAAUGAAUAUACUCUAAAUUUUUUUAAAAAAAUUAUAAAUUAGUUUUUAUGACUAAAUAUUAGUCACUGAAUAAUUAAUUUACG